rnacentral:tRNA from 2 species
GCCGUCUUAGUGUAGUGGUAGCACCUCUCGGUAGUACCGAGAAGUCGCGGGUUCGAUUCUCGCGGGCGGCU